ACCACUAACGUGACAAUGAAAAUAUCACAACUUACCUUCGAAGGUACAAGACUCAACUCAAAUCCUCUCUGCCUCUAAAGCAGGAAUGUUAAAGCUAAUUUGUUCAACCUCUAAAUACAAGAAACCUCCUUCCAAUAGUCAUUCUUCGACCUCUGAAGCGGACAAUACGAAGACUCGAAGACCUCGAGGAAACAAGAAAGAAUCGACCAAAGAGGUGAGGAUGCAUCGUGAUCACGGUCAGGGAUCUCAGACCACGGCCAGAGGAGAUCGGCUUGGCUAGCGGCUUGCAAUCAAGACCGUGGUGAAGUCUCUUUAGACAACAGUCUCGUAACGAUGAGCGGGUGGUGACCACAGUCAGGUAUGAGAAGAUCGCGGUCACAAGGUCGGCCAGCUUGACACGGCUAGAUUUCGGGAGAUUUUUGGGCGAGAUAUUUUGUAUCUUGUAUUCUACAUAAAAGGGGAUAUAUUCUAGGGGA